rnacentral:rRNA from 1 species
AUGAACGCUGGCGGCGUGCCUAAUACCUGCAAGUCGAGCGAACAGACGAGGAGCUUGCUCCUCUGACGUUAGCGGCGGACGGGUGAGUAACACGUGGAUAACCUACCUAUAAGACUGGGAUAACUUCGGGAAACCGGAGCUAAUACCGGAUAAUAUAUUGAACCGCAUGGUUCAAUAGUGAAAGACGGUUUUGCUGUCACUUAUAGAUGGAUCCGCGCCGCAUUAGCUAGUUGGUAAGGUAACGGCUUACCAAGGCAACGAUGCGUAGCCGACCUGAGAGGGUGAUCGGCCACACUUGAACUGAGACACGGUCCAGACUCCUACGGGAGGCAGCAGUAGGGAAUCUUCCGCAAUGGGCGAAAGCCUGACGGAGCAACGCCGCGUGAGUGAUGAAGGUCUUCGGAUCGUAAAACUCUGUUAUUAGGGAAGAACAAAUGUGUAAGUAACUAUGCACGUCUUGACGGUACCUAAUCAGAAAGCCACGGCUAACUACGUG